rnacentral:rRNA from 1 species
AUUGAACGCUGGCGGCAGGCCUAACACAUGCAAGUCGAACGAGUGGCGGACGGGUGAGUAAUGUCUGGGAAACUGCCUGAUGGAGGGGGAUAACUACUGGAAACGGUAGCUAAUACCGCAUAACAUCAGAUGUGCCCAGAUGGGAUUAGCUAGUUGGUGGGGAAACGGCUCACCAAGGCGACGAUCCCUAGCUGGUCGGAGAGGAUGACGAGCAAAACUGGAACUGGUACACGGUCAAGACGCCUACGGGAGGAAGCAGUGGGAAAUAUUGCAAAAUGGGCGAAAGCCUGAUGCAGCCAGGCGGGGGGUAGGAAGAGGGCUUGCGGUUUGUAAAGUACUUUGAGCGGGGAGGCGUAACCCGCAGAAGAAGCACCGGCUAACUCCGUGCCAGCCGCGGCGGUAAUU